UUUGUAUGGUUAUAUUACAGCAAUGCAGUAACAUGAAGUUUUCAUCACUGUUAUCCUCCGGGAAUUAUAGAGGGAUGUACAUAUUGCCUUGAAGCCAUUAAUUGUGAAGCAGAAUUCACAAAGCACUGACAACAGCAGCACCACCAAAGAAUCUUCAGAGCACCUCAUAAUUUCAAGACGGCAGACUGAAAAUCAAGGACAGCUAAAAGAAACAAUGCUGAGGGCUGCAGCUUUUCUGAACCAAAGAGCAUCACGAUAGGUAUGACAUUGCCAAAAUCCUACACAAGGAGUCAAGUUAGCUCCUGACUCAUAUAAUCAAUACACAUAUACAAAAAUCAAACUAA